rnacentral:misc_RNA from 1 species
AGAGUUAAACAGUACGUGAAAUUGUUGAAAGGGAAACGAUUGAAGUCAGUCAUGCUAGUGAGGAAUCAACUCGGUGGUUUUCUUCCGUGUGUACUUUCUCGCCUGGCAGGUUAGCAUCAAUUUCGUUCAUCAUUAAAUGAUCGGGGUAAUGUGACUACUUUUUGGAGUAGUGUUAUAGACCUUGGUAGAUGUGAUGAUCGGGAUUGAGGAUUGCAGCGAAUGCUAUUUGGCUAGUCCCUGAUUUCUGAUGAUCACCUCGCCUUCGACAGCUUGCUGAUGUAGGUGGGUUCUGAUUGUCUAGAUGUUAGAGUGAUCAUAUAUAUUCGCUAAGGAUGCUGACGUAAUGGCUUUAAACGA